UACAGAGGGGGCAAGCGUUAUUCGGAAUUAUUGGGCGUAAAGGGCGCGUAGGCGGCUUUGCAAGUGGCGGGUGAAAUCCCUCGGCUUAACCGAGGAACUGCCUGCCAGACUGUGAGGCUUGAGACCGGGAGAGGUGAGUGGAAUUCCCAGUGUAGCGGUGAAAUGCGUAGAUAUUGGGAGGAACACCGGUGGCGAAGGCGGCCCUCUGGACCGAAACUGACACUGAAGCGCGAAAGCUAGGGGAGCAAACGGG
rnacentral:rRNA from 1 species